GAAGGCUACUCCCUUCUUAGAGUU
rnacentral:tRNA from 1 species